CCUGCCCCUAGAAGCUUUGUGGGUGUGGCAGCUGUGUCACAUGUGCAUCAAUAGGUGGCAGAGAGGAGACAGGCUAUGUCCACCCUCAAUGUUCUGACCUAUGACCAUCUGAAUGAUUAGUAGCCUAACACU